UACGGGGGGGGGCAAGCGUUGUUCGGAAUUACUGGGCGUAAAGGGCUCGUAGGCGGCCAACUAAGUCAGACGUGAAAUCCCUCGGCUUAACCGGGGAACUGCAUCUGAUACUGGAUGGCUUGAGUUCGGGAGAGGGAUGCGGAAUUCCUGGUGUAGCGGUGAAAUGCGCAGAUAUCAGGAAGAACACCCGUGGCUAAGGCGGUUCUCUAGUACGGUACUGACGCCUGAGACGCGAAAGCGUGGGGAGCGAACAGG
rnacentral:rRNA from 1 species